rnacentral:lncRNA from 1 species
UGUUGGCAAACUUUGGUGGGGGUACAGUGGUAGCAGCCACACAGGACAUUCUAACACUGUCAAUUGCAUUGUCAGGAAGACUGCAGCCAUUUCUGCUCCUGCUCAGAAGAGUGUGACGUGCUAUGCCACCUCAGGAACUUCUGGAAUAGGCAGCCCACGGCUAUGACUCCACGUACUUGAGGAUAAGUCACGAAAAGAUUACAAGCACAUCUUGGCUGCGCACACCUGUGAUGGACGGACUCUCAAUUUCACCUGUGCUCAGGGUGAAGUAGGAAUUAAACGCUAUGGACUAGACCCAAGGAUUCACUAGAACUUCAACUGAAUGCAAAGCCACAAAGGUCACCCGUGCCUGCCUGCCUCCUCUCUCCAGGCAAACCUGCAGGCCCUAGGUCCACUGAAGGAACAAGU